rnacentral:rRNA from 1 species
GUGAGGAAUAUUGGUCAAUGGGCGGGAGCCUGAACCAGCCAAGCCGCGUGAGGGAAUAAGGCCCUACGGGUCGUAAACCUCUUUUGUCGGGGAACAAAACCGGAGACGAGUCUCCGGCUGCGUGUACCCGAAGAAAAAGCAUCGGCUAACUCCGUGCCAGCAGCCGCGGUAAUACGGAGGAUGCGAGCGUUAUCCGGAUUUAUUGGGUUUAAAGGGUGCGUAGGCGGCCAUGUAAGUCAGCGGUAAAAGCCCGGGGCUCAACCCCGGCGAGCCGUUGAAACUGUGUGGCUGGAGACGGAGAGAAGUAGGCGGAAUGCGCGGUGUAGCGGUGAAAUGCAUAGAUAUCGCGCAGAACUCCGAUUGCGAAGGCAGCCUACCGGCUCCGGUCUGACGCUGAGGCACGAAAGCGUGGGUAUCGAACAGGAUUAGAAACCCCAGUAGUCC